rnacentral:rRNA from 1 species
ACGAACGCUGGCGGCGUGCUUAACCCAUGCAAGUCGAACGGAAAGGCCCUGCUUUUGUGGGGUGCUCGAGUGGCGAACGGGUGAGUAACACGUGAGUAACCUGCCCUUGACUUUGGGAUAACUUCAGGAAACUGGGGCUAAUACCGGAUAGGAGCUCCUGCUGCAUGGUGGGGGUUGGAAAGUUUCGGCGGUUGGGGAUGGACUCGCGGCUUAUCAGCUUGUUGGUGGGGUAGUGGCUUACCAAGGCUUUGACGGGUAGCCGGCCUGAGAGGGUGACCGGCCACAUUGGGACUGAGAUACGGCCCAGACUCCUACGGGAGGCAGCAGUGGGGGAUAUUGCACAAUGGGCGGAAGCCUGAUGCAGCAACGCCGCGUGCGGGAUGACGGCCUUCGGGUUGUAAACCGCUUUCGCCUGUGACGAAGCGUGAGUGACGGUAAUGGGUAAAGAAGCACCGGCUAACUACGUG